AGUGAACGCUGGCGGUAGGCCUAACACAUGCAAGUCGAACGGCAGCACAGUAAGAGCUUGCUCUUACGGGUGGCGAGUGGCGGACGGGUGAGGAAUACAUCGGAAUCUACUUUUUCGUGGGGGAUAACGUAGGGAAACUUACGCUAAUACCGCAUACGACCUACGGGUGAAAGCAGGGGAUCUUCGGACCUUGCGCGAGUGAAUGAGCCGAUGUCGGAUUAGCUAGUUGGCGGGGUAAAGGCCCACCAAGGCGACGAUCCGUAGCUGGUCUGAGAGGAUGAUCAGCCACACUGGAACUGAGCCACGGUCCAGACUCCUGCGGGAGGCCGCAGUGGGGAAUAUUGGACAAUGGGCGCAAGCCUGAUCCAGCCAUACCGCGUGGGUGAAGAAGGCCUUCGGGUUGUAAAGCCCUUUUGUUGGGAAAGAAAAGCAGCAGGUUAAUACCCCGCUGUUCUGACGGUACCCAAAGAAUAAGCACCGGCUAACUUCGUG
rnacentral:rRNA from 1 species